rnacentral:rRNA from 1 species
UACGUAGGGUGCAAGCGUUAAUCGGAAUUACUGGGCGUAAAGCGUGCGCAGGCGGUUCUAUAAGACAGAUGUGAAAUCCCCGGGCUCAACCUGGGAACUGCAUUUGUGACUGUAGAGCUGGAGUGCGGCAGAGGGGGAUGGAAUUCCGCGUGUAGCAGUGAAAUGCGUAGAUAUGCGGAGGAACACCGAUGGCGAAGGCAAUCCCCUGGGCCUGCACUGACGCUCAUGCGCGAAAGCGUGGGGAGCAAACAGG